AAAAAACAUAUUCAUUAUCCUUGGGACCAUGAGAUAAAAUACCCUACAAAACCAAGUUACCACACCUUAGAAUGGUUUUAACAGACUUACUAACCUAUGGCUCUAAUACCAAUUGGUGGGAAAAAUCC
rfam:Vitis vinifera, whole genome shotgun sequence of line PN40024, unoriented chromosome 15, chr15